rnacentral:piRNA from 1 species
UAGGCCAGUUCCAGAUCAGUGUCCUGGAGU